UACGGGGGGGGGCGAGCGUUGUUCGGAAUUACUGGGCGUAAAGGGUGCGUAGGCGGCUUUCUAAGUCGGAUGUGAAAACUCUGGGCUCAACCCAGAGCCUGCAUCUGAAACUGGAGAGCUAGGGUUUUGGAGGGGAAAGCGGAAUUCCAGUGUAGCGGUGAAAUGCGUAGAUAUCUGGAGGAACACCGGUGGCGAAGGCGGC
rnacentral:rRNA from 1 species